GCAAUGGGCGAAAGCCUGACGGAGCAAUACCUUGUGAGGGAAGACGGCCUAUGGGUUGUAAACCUCUUUUCUCAGGGAGGAACUCAAUGACGUGUACCUGAGGAAUAAGCAUCGGCUAACUCCGUGCCAGCAGCCGCGGUAAGACGGAGGAUGCAAGUGUUAUCCGGAAUCACUGGGCGUAAAGCGUCUGUAGGUUGUUUAAUAAGUCAACUGUUAAAUCUUGAGGCUCAACUUCAAAAUCGCAGUCGAAACUAUUAGACUAGAGUAUAGUAGGGGUAAAGGGAAUUUCCAGUGGAGCGGUGAAAUGCGUAGAGAUUGGAAAGAACACCGAUGGCGAAGGCACUUUACUGGGCUAUUACUAACACUCAGAGACGAAAGCUAGGGUAGCAAAUGGGAUUAGAUACCCCAGUAGUCCUAGCUGUAAACAAUGGAUACUAGAUGUUGAACAGAUCGACCUGUGCAAUAUUAAAGCUAACGCGUUAAGUAUCCCGCCUGGGAAGUAUGCUCGCAAGAGCGAAACUCAAAGGAAUUGACGGAAUCACUAGUGAA
rnacentral:rRNA from 1 species